AAGACACUAGUAAAACCGCCUUAUUACACUGCCUCGUCACGACAGCUUUGUGGGUUAAACCCCCGCGUGCCUUG
rnacentral:tRNA from 1 species